rnacentral:siRNA from 1 species
UAAUGGUUGGAAUUAUAUAU